UACGAAGGGUGCAAACGUUGCUCGGAAUCAUUGGGCGUAAAGCGCACGUAGGCGGCCUGAUAAGUCGGAUGUGAAAUCUCCCGGCUCAACUGGGAAACUGCAUCGGAAACUGAUCGGCUUGAAGGUGGGAGAGGGUAGUGGAAUUCCCGGUGUAGUGGUGAAAUGCGUAGAUAUCGGGAGGAACACCAGUGGCGAAGGCGACUACCUGGCCCAUUCUUGACGCUGAGGCGCGAAAGCUAGGGGAGCGAACGGG
rnacentral:rRNA from 1 species